rnacentral:ncRNA from 1 species
UCUAAAGUUUAAAAUUGGCUUUGAAUUUUAGUUUAAAAUUUUAAAAAUAUAUGUAAAUUUUUGUUAUAAAUUUUAAGUUUUCAAUAUUGAGAAUUAAAUAUUAGGUUAAUCUAGAUUUAGGAAUUAAUUUUAGUACUAACUAAACUUGUGCCAGCAGUAGCGGUUAUACAUGUAGUGCAAUUAAAAUUUUUUGGUUUAAAAUAGCUUUAUUUAAAUUAAAAAUUAGAUGUUUUUAGGUGAAAUUUAAAUAUUUAAUUUAAAUUUAGAGGUGAAUUUAAUUAGUUAAUUAUGAAACUAGGAUUAGAUACCCUAUUAUUUUAAUUAUAAUUUAAUACCAUAUGAGUAUUAGCUUUAAUCUUAAAAGUAAAAAUUUUUGGCGGUACUUUAGUCCUUUCAGAGGAACCUGUUCUGUAAUUGAUAAUCCACGAUUAUAAAAACUUUAUUAUUAUUUACAUAUCGUUGUAUAAAAAAUUUUAUUAGGUAAUUUUUAUUAUUCAUUAUUUUGAUUUAAUUCAGAUCAAGGUGUAGUUUUAUAAAGUAGAAAUGGGUUACGUUUUGGAUUUAUUAUUUUAAAUUUUAAUGAAUUAGGAUUUGAUAGUAAAUUUAGUUAUUUUACUAAAUUGAUUUUGGCUCUAUAGUAUGUACAUAUCGCCCGUCGCUUUCAUUUAAAUUGAAAUAAGUCGUAACAAAGUAGAUUUACUGGAAAGUGAAUCUUGAGUCAA